UACUGUGCAACAGCGUUCAGAGAAGAGGAGAUUGAGAAUACAUGAGAAACACAGCCCCACCCACACCAAAUUCAGUGAAGGAGAGGGACAAGGUGCUCCAGGUGCCAGAGCAGAGUUUCCCCUGCAGCCUGUGGUGGGGAGACCAUGGUGGGUCAGGCAUGCAGCCCAUGGAGGUCCAUGGGGGAGUAGAUAUCCCUAUGUGCAGCCUGUGGAGGACCCCAGUUCCAGCACAGGUGGAUGUCUAAAGGAAGCUAUGACCCUGUGGGAAGCCCACGUUGGAACAGGCUCCUAGUGGGUCCUGUGGCCCCAUGGAGAGAAGAGCCCACACUACAGCAUGUUUGCUGGCAGGACUUUGUCCCCCGUGAAGUAUCCACACUGCAGCAAUUUGUUCCUGAAGGACUGCACCCUGUGGAAAGGGACCCAUGCUGGAGAUGAUGAACUCAAGCAGUUCAUGAUGAACUGCAGCCUGUGGGAAAGACUCACAUUGGAGAAGCUUAUGAAAAAUUGCCUUCUAUGGGAGGGACCCCAUACUGGAGCAGAAGAAGAGUGUGAGGAGUCCUUCCUCCUCAGAAGAAGGAGCAGCAGAGGCAAUAUGUAUGAACUGACAGCACUCUUCGUUCCCUGUCAUCCUGUGCCACUGGAGGAAGAGAAAGAGAACACGGGGGGUAAAGAGAGGCUCAGGGCUGAGCUCCUGCAAAAGUGUGGCAGUUGGAGCAGUUACAACUCCACUGGAUAAUUUGUCUCUUCCACUCAAAAGGUUUCAAAGCCCAUAACUCCAAACUACAAGCAAGAUCAUGGCACUGUUGGAGACAUGCCAUUGCACAGGUGAAAAUCUUUGAAUUAACCAGAUAAUGGAAAAAAAGAGGAGCUUCUGUAACUGCAGCUAUGACAUGGCAAGGAAGAUGUCUGUCCUGGUCCUUGUUGGAAUAACUGUCCCAAAUGAUUUAAAAAGCCCAGGAAAGUUUCCCACCUAUUGAGACCAGCAUCAGCUAAAUGCUCUUAAAGAAGCAAAAUCCAGGCCCAAAUGCUCUUUCUCCUGCCUUCAACUCUCUAUCUCCUGCCUUCUGCCUGUAGGGAAGAACCCCAGAACUGCGUUGAUGCUGUAUUUUCAAUAUCAAAUUCACUGUUACUUCAGGAGAGAACUAAUAAAAGUGAAGAUUUUAAACAAUUUAAACUUAAUUUAUUUAAUUACUGAAUUCUAACAGAGCCUUUUGGAUUUGGACUAUCCUGUUCAAAGAGUGUUCUCUGGAACACUCUAGCAAUUUUAAGAGAGAUCAAAUGCCAUUCUCUGAGAGUAAUGUCCUUGCUACAGACUUUCACUUUAUAUUUUAGAUCAACUUUCCCCUCAAAAAAACCUCUGCUUAUUCACACAAUUAAUAGUUUUGAAAACUGAACCCUGUUUGUUAGCCACAGGGCAGCCUGGCUGCAGGCACCAGCAAAACAAUAAAUACCUUAUAUUUCCUGACCAGAGGCUCUUGAGUCUGACUUGACAUGAUAAACAGCAGGGUCUAGAUGGCUAGUCAUAUCUCCUAAAUUUGCCUUGCUUCGGCAAACAGAUAACAUUUGUGCUAGAUUUAGAUGUUUUGAAUCCUUUUUUCACUGUGCUAACUUUCUUCUUCCAUAAGAUCCCUAAAGAGCAGGGAUUUUUCAUCUCACCUGGAUGUUCUUGAGAGAGGAUGCAAAUUUGACUGGGCCAAAUUCAACAUGGUAAUCCAACAAAAAAAUGCCAUG